UACGAAGGGGGCUAGCGUUGCUCGGAAUCACUGGGCGUAAAGGGUGCGUAGGCGGGUCUUUAAGUCAGGGGUGAAAUCCUGGAGCUCAACUCCAGAACUGCCUUUGAUACUGAAGAUCUUGAGUUCGGGAGAGGUGAGUGGAACUGCGAGUGUAGAGGUGAAAUUCGUAGAUAUUCGCAAGAACACCAGUGGCGAAGGCAGCCCCCUGGGCCAAUACUGACGCUCAUGCACGAAAGCGUGGGGAGCAAACAGG
rnacentral:rRNA from 1 species